AUAUGAAAUUAUAACAUUAAUUCCCACCUAUGUUAAUUUUGCCAUUGACUUAUGAACUAAUUUUCAAAUUUAUUUUGAAAUUAAUCAUACCUUCUAGUUCAAGGACCUUCAUGGAUUCUGAAUGUAAAAGAAUCCCAAUGAUUUUAUCUCUUCAGAAAACAUAAAUAUAAAUUGUAUUCAAAUAUGCAUAUUACACAAAGAUGCAUUACACAUAUUGCAAGAGACAUUCACACAUAUUUUUGGUUGGUGAUUUAGCCUGAAUUUGCUAACAAUGGCAUGGUGUCUACUUUGAUUUUGUUUAGCUGGAAUAAUCAAGUAUUAGUCCAUUCUUUCACUGCUAUUAAAUACCUGAGACUGGGUAGUUUAUAGGGAAAAGAAGAUUAAUUGGCUGAAGGUUCUGCAGACUGUAUGAGAAGCAUAGUGGCUUCUGAGAAAACCUCAGGAAAGUUAGAAUCAUGGUGGUGUAGGAGGACUAGCCACAGACAAAACCACUCAGACACCGGGUUAAGAAGGAAGUGGCUUUAUUUGGCCAGGAGCAUCAGCAGACUUGCAUGUCAAGAACUGAGCUCUCUGAAGAAAGAGUUCCUGGCCCUUUUAAGAACUUACAACUCUAAGGGGUUCACGUGAAAGGGUUGUGAUAGAUUGACAUUCAGAGAUAGCAUAUGUGAUUAGAGGGGGGCUAAUCUUUAACCUCUCUCUUCAUUCCCCCAUUUGAGAACCUUACUCACUAGUGGGAGGUCUCACUCUCAUCUUCACUACCCAGGUCUUUCUGCAAGACAGAUCGACAGUGAUUCAUGUAAUACACUUGUGUAUUACAAGACAUUCAUGUAAUACAUUUGUGCUGAAGUUUUCUGAUGAACCAAGGUAGUAACAAAACUUCUUAGAAGUUGGAGAAAUAUGGGUAACAAACAAAGGAGCAAUAGGAGGGUUGCAGCUGGAGAUCUGGGGAGGAGCUGGUGUUUUUUAGUUUGAGGGUCAUGCAGCUAUAGACCCUGGGAGGAGCAGGAGUUUCUUUAGUUUGAGGGUUGGGCAGCUGCAGAACCCGGGAGAAUCUGAUGUUCUGGUUUGAGGGUCCUGCAGCUGGAGACCCAGAGAGCAGCUGGUGUUUCUUUAGUUUGAUGGCCGUGCAGCUGUAGAACCCAGGGGGAGCUGGUAUUUUUCUAGUAUGAGUGUCCUGCAGCUGGAGACCUGGAGAAGAGCUGAUGUUCUAGUUUGAGGGUCGUGCCGCUGAAGACUCAGGGAGAAGCUGAUGUUCUCGUUUGAGGAUACUGCAGCUGGAGACCUGGAGAGGAGCUGAUGUUAUUCUAGUUUGAGGAUCUUGGAGAGGAGCUGAUGUUGUUCUAGUUUGAGGGUCAGGCAACUGAAGACCCGGGGAGGAGCUGAUGUUGUUCUAGUUUGAGGUUCAUGCAGCUGGAGACCUGGGGAGCAGCGGGUGUUUUUUAGUUUGAGGGUCAUGCAGCUGUAGAACCCGGGAGGAGCUGGCGUUUUUCUAAUAUGAGUAUCCUGCAGCUGGAGACCAGGAGAGUUGCUGAUGUUCUAGUCUGAAGGUCGUGCAGCUGAAGACGGGGGAGGGUUCUAGUUUGAGUGCCCUGCAGCUGAAGACUCGGGAAGGAGCUGAUGUUGUCCUUGUUUUACGAUCUUUCAGCUGGAGACUCAAAGAGGAGCUGAUGUUGUUCUAAUUUGAGUGUAAUGGAGCUGGAGACCCGGGGUGGAGCUGAUGUUGUUCUAGUUUGAGUGUUGUGCAGCUGGAGAUCCAAGAAGGAGGUGGUCUUGUGGUUCAAAUCUGAGGGUCCUGGAGCUGGAAUCUAUGGGAGGAGUCAAUGCUGCCACUGAUGUCUUAGAUUGUGCAGCAGAAGACCCACAGAGGAGCCGGUGUUGGUGUUCUAGUGUGAGGGUGUGGAUCUGGAGAUCCAUGGGGGAGUGACGUUCUUCUAGUUUUUGGGUUGUGGUGCUGGAGACCCAGGGAGGAGCUCAUGGUGUUCUAGUUGAGGGUCGUGGUGCUGGAGACCCAGGGAGGAGUCGAUCCUUCUGUUGUUUAAGUCUGAAGGUCAUCGAGCUGGAGAUCCGGGGAAGAGCUGGUGCUGCGGUUCAAGUCUGAGGGUCCUGGAGCUUGAGACCCCAGGAGGAGAUGGUGCUGCCACGAAUGUCUUAGGUUGUAAAGCUGGAGACCUGCGAAGGAGCCGGUGUUGCUGUUUUAGUGUGAGGUUUGUGGAGCUGGAGUCCCAGGGGGAAAAUGGUGUUUUUCUGGCUUAAGGGUCAUGCAGCUGACCCUCAGAUGACCUCAAACUAUAACAACACUGCUCCACCCUGGAUCUCCAGCUCCAAAAUCCUCACAAUAGAAAAACAUCUGCUCCUCCCUGAGUGUCCAGCUCCACGAUGCUCAAACUAGAUUAAAAUCAGCUCCUUCCCAGGUGUCCAGCUGCAUGACCCUCAAACUAGAAACACCCGGGGAGGUUUUAUUAGUUUGCUGCUGUUUUUCUAGAUUGAGGGUCAUGCAGCUGGAGACGUGGGGAGGAGCUGAUGUUGUUCGAGUUUGAGGGUCAUGGAGCUUGGAGACCCAGGCAGGAGCUGGUGUUUUUCUAGUUUGAGGGUUGUGCAGCUGGAGACCCAGGGAGAAGCUGAUGUUGCUCUUAUUUGAGAGCUGUGGAGCUGGAGACCUGGAGAGGAGCUGAUGGUGUUCUAGUUUGAUGGUUGCAGAGCUGGAGACCCAGGGAGGAGCUGUUGUUUUUCUAGUUUGAGUUUCGUGCAGCUGAAGACCAUUGGAGGAGCUGAUGUUCUAGUUUGAGGGUUGUGCAGCUGGAGAUACAGGGAGAAGGUGGUCUUGCAGUUUAAAUGUGAGGGUCUUGGAGCUGGAAUCCAUGGGAGGAGCCAAUGCUGCCACUGAUGUCUUAGGUUGUGGAGCUGAAGACCCGCAGAGGAGCCAGUGUUGGUGUUCCAGUGUGAGGUUCGUGGAUCUGGAGACCCACGGAGGAGCAGGUGUUGGUGUUCUAGUGUGAGGGUCAUGGAUCUGGAGAUCCAUGGGGGAGUGGUGUUCUUCUAGUUUGUGGGUUGUGGUGCUGGAGACCCAGGGAGGAGCUGAUUCUUUUGUUGUUUAAGUCUGAAGGUCGUCAAGCUGGAGAUCCGGGGAAGAGCUGGUGCUGCGAUUCAAGUCUGAGGGUCCUGGAGCUUGAGACCCCAGGAGGAGAUGGUGCUGCCACUAAUGUCUUAGAUUGUAAAGCUGGAGAUCUGUGGAGGAGCUGGUGUUUCUGUUCUAGUGUAAGGUUUGUGGAUCUGGAGUCCCAGGGGUGAGCAGUGUUGUUUUAGUUUGAGGGUCAUGGAGUUAGAGACCCGGGGAGGAGCUGAUGUUGUAGUUUGAGGGUCGUGCAGCUGGAGACCCAGGGAGGAGCUGGUGUGUUUCUAGUUGGAGGGUUGUGGAGCUGGAGAUUCAC
rnacentral:lncRNA from 10 species